rnacentral:rRNA from 1 species
GACGAACGCUGGCGGUAUGCUUAACACAUGCAAGUCGAACGGGGUCCACAGCUUGCUGGGGACCUAGUGGCGAACGGGUGAGUAACACGUGAGCAACCUGCCCUAUACAACGGGAUACCUACGGGAAACUGUAGUUAAUACGGUAUAAGACCACGCAGUCGCAUGGCUGAGGGGUAAAAGGAGAAAUCCGGUAUAGGAUGGGCUCGCGGCGCAUUAGCUAGUUGGUGAGGUAACGGCUCACCAAGGCGACGAUGCGUAGCCGACCUGAGAGGGUGGACGGCCACACUGGGACUGAGAUACGGCCCAG